rnacentral:rRNA from 1 species
AGAGUUUGAUUAUGGCUCAGGAUGAACGCUAGCGACAGGCCUAACACAUGCAAGUCGAGGGGCAGCGGGGGAGAGAGCUUGCUCUCUCCUGCCGGCGACCGGCGCACGGGUGAGUAACGCGUAUGCGACCUGCCCUGCACAGUGGGAUAACCCGGAGAAAUCCGGACUAAUACCGCAUGCCCCCGCGGGGCUGCAUGGCUCCGCGGGGAAAGGAGGCGACUCCGGUGCAGGAUGGGCAUGCGUGACAUUAGCUAGUCGGCGGGGUAACGGCCCACCGAGGCGACGAUGUCUAGGGGUUCUGAGAGGAAGGUCCCCCACACUGGUACUGAGACACGGACCAG